CACUGAGAGGGCGAUCUGGCUGCGACAUCUGUCACCCCAUUGAUCGCCAGGGUUGAUUCGGCUGAUCUGGCUGGCUAGGCGGGUGUCCCCUUCCUCCCUCUCAGGGAGGAAGCUGCGCGCUCGGUCGAAGAGGACGACCAUCCCCGAUAGAGGAGAGGACCGUUCUUCGGUCAAGGGUAUACGAGUAGCUGCGCUCCCCUGCUAGAACCUCUAAAUGGUAUUUCUUAGGGAAAGGAGGUUUUCUUACGCAAAAAGAAGGUUCCACUUUAUAGGCAUUUGUGUCCAGUUAA
rnacentral:snRNA from 1 species